UACGAAGGGGGCUAGCGUUGCUCGGAAUCACUGGGCGUAAAGGGUGCGUAGGCGGGUUCUUAAGUCAGAGGUGAAAUCCUGGAGCUCAACUCCAGAACUGCCUUUGAUACUGAGGAUCUUGAGUCCGGGAGAGGUGAGUGGAACUGCGAGUGUAGAGGUGAAAUUCGUAGAUAUUCGCAAGAACACCAGUGGCGAAGGCGGCUCACUGGCCCGGUACUGACGCUGAGGCACGAAAGCGUGGGGAGCAAACAGG
rnacentral:rRNA from 1 species